rnacentral:rRNA from 1 species
GUGAGGAAUAUUGGUCAAUGGACGAGAGUCUGAACCAGCCAAGUCGCGUGAAGGAAGACGGUUCUAUGAAUUGUAAACUUCUUUUGUGCAGGAAUAAAGUGGGUUACGUGUAACCUUUUGUAUGUACUGUACGAAUAAGGAUCGGCUAACUCCGUGCCAGCAGCCGCGGUAAUACGGAGGAUCCGAGCGUUAUCCGGAUUUAUUGGGUUUAAAGGGUGCGUAGGUGGAUUGAUAAGUCAGCGGUGAAAGUUUGCAGCUUAACUGUAAAAUUACUGUUUAAACUGUCGGUCUUGAGUGCAAAUGAGGUAGGCGGAAUGUGUUGUGUAGCGGUCAAAUGCUUAGAUAUAACACAGAACUCCGAGUGCGAAGGCAGCUUACUGGGAUGCAACUGACACUGAUGCACGAAAGCGUGGGUAUCAAACAGGAUUAGAAACCCCGGUAGUCC